UUUUAAUUAACAAUAAUUUUAUUCAUUUAAUAGAAUAUAUACUUUUUUUAUGUCACAAUGCAGUAGCGUGUCGAUGCUGACAAACAUACUUUUAUUUUUUAUUAGGGUCAGGUCAAGGUUAGGUCGAAGAUUUGAAUUGAGGAAAAAUUAAUAGGUAGGUAUAUCUUGCAAAACAACCUAUUGGUAAUCGCUUACCAUCGGGUG
rnacentral:misc_RNA from 1 species